GAUGAAGAACGUAGCGAAAUGCGAUAAGUAAUGUGAAUUGCAGAAUUCAGUGAAUCAUCGAAUCUUUGAACGCGCAUUGCGCCCGCCAUCACUCUGGCGGGCAUGCCUGUUCGAGCGUCAUUUCAACCAUCAAGCCCCCAGGGGCAUGUGCUGGGGCCCUGCGGCUGCCCGCAGGCCCUGAAAACCAGUGGCGGGCUCGCUAGUCACACCGAGCGCAGUAGCACAUCUCGCUCCGGGCGUGCGGCGGGCUCCUGCCGUGAAACCCCCCACUGUAACCCCAAAGGUUGACCUCGGAUCAGGUAGGAAUACCCGCUGAACUUAAGCAUAUCAAUAAGCGGAGGA
rnacentral:misc_RNA from 1 species